GUCCACGCCCUAAACGAUGCAUAUUUGGUGUAGGUCAUUCAGUUGAUCUGUGCCGGAGCUAACGCGUUAAAUAUGCCGCCUGGGGAGUACAGUAGCAAGGCUGAAACUCAAAGGAAUUGACGGGGGCCCGCACAAGCGGUGGAGCAUGUGGUUCAAUUCGACGCAACGCGAAGAACCUUACCUGGGCUCGAACGGCUGGUCAACGGCAUUGGAAACAGUGCUACUCCGCAAGGGGGUCCAGUAGAGGUGCUGCAUGGCUGUCGU
rnacentral:rRNA from 1 species